AGAAGCUUCGAGGAACCAAACAAAACGGGUAGUUAAAGACCAUAAUUACACCACUAUCAACAUUAUUUUCCAGCAUCAUCAAUCAGAGUUGCACAUGCUAGAAAACUUUGGCGUUGUUAGAUGAGUCUUUGUGCCAUGUAUUCAUGGAGGACUGAUUCAGAUUGGAUUUCUCAGGUUGCUCUUUUAAAGCUCAGAAGACAUUAUGAGGCUCAGUUUAGAUGUUAUUGAGUCAAUAUUACAUCUGAUUGAGAAAUUAAAACCCUUUCUGUGGGUCAUUUUGAUCGCACACUUUCUAAAAGCAGAAACCAAAGUCAAACUGUUAAUAAGAUACAUGAACAUUUGACUCUAAAACUCUUGCAACAAAUGUAAAAUGAGUCCAUCUUCAUGUGUCUAGUUCGGUUAAAUCUUGCUUUGCAUUUCACCAGAACUCUCCGUCUUGGCAGCAAACACAUGGCAAAGCUCCCAGUCGAGAUACAGGUGUAAGGUGGUUCAGGUUGUGCUGGAAAAACACUUUGUGGUUUAUUUACAAUAACAGUAACUGCUAAAAGUGUCUUCAUUUUGAUCGUUAUGAAUAAUGAAACGCUAAUGAAUAAUCCUGGCUAAAUGUGCCCUAACAUGGAAAUUCCCAUAUUUAAGGGAGUUACUUGGCUUGGAUUAAAACUGGCAAAGCUCUGUUUUCAUGCAAAACGGUGACAUCUGCAACGUUUGGCUUUUAUUUAUACUUUGAAGAUUAUUAACUGAAACACAAUGACUCUUACUGGCAUGUACUGUAUCCAAGAUGAAAGAUGGUUCAAAAUGUAGGCAGCAACAUUUUGCUGUCUUCUAAAAUCCAAUUCGUGCAAGAUGAAGAAACAUUGACAUAUUUUUUUUUAAAAAGUUUUCUUUUCUCAAGUUUUUGUAACUCAAAAGUUACAAUUAAUCAGCCAGUAUUUUUGUGUGCCAUGCAUUUUUAUGCUGAUUAAACUCUAAAGUUAAGGAAAUUAUUCUCAGUGUGCAAUAUGCAUCAGAUCUUCAGUUAAUUGAUUAUAACCAUUAAAGGAAUGGUUCAUCCUAAAAUGAAAAAUUAAUGAUAAUGUACUCACCCUCAGGCCAUUCAAAGAUGAGUUUGUUUCUUCAUCAGAACAGAUUUGGAAAAAUUUAGCAUUACAUCACUUGCUCAGCAAUGGAUCCUCUACAGUGAAUGGGUGCCGUCAGAAUGAGAGUCCUAACAGCUGAUUAAAAACAUCCAAAGUAAUCCACUCCAGUCCAGCUAUUAAUGUCUUGAGAAGACAAAAGCUGCGUGUUUGUAAGAAACUAAGACAUUCUAAUGUCGAACCAUUGCUUUUGGCUAAAGUAAGAGUCCAUAAUCCAUAAUAAUAAUUCCUCCAGUGAAAAAGACCAUCUCCUGUUGUCUCUCACAUCAAAAUCCACCCACAUAUUUGUUUAGAAUUGUUUUGAACUGAUUUGGCUUGUAAAUGGUGCUUGAUCUGUACAGAUUUCUCUCCUGAUUCAGACCAGAUGAGUUUUUCAUUGGAGGAAGCAUUAUGGAUUAUGGACUCAUAUUUUAGCUGAAAGCAACAGUUUGUAGAUAAAAAUGUCUCUUAAUCCAUUUAUUUCUUACAGUGUCUCUUUUGGUUACAUAAAAACGUUAACUGAUGGACUGGAGUGGUGUGGAUUACUUGUGGAAGAUUGUGAUGUUUUUAUCAGCUGUUUGGACUCUCAUUCUGACGACACCCAUUCACUGCAGAGGAUCCGUUGGUGAACAAGUGAUGGAAUGCUACAUUUCUCCAAAUCUGAUGAAGAAACAAACUCAUCUAUAUCUUUGAUGGCCUGAGGGCAAGGACGUUUUCAUUUUCGAUUGAGCUAUUCCUUUAGAUGAUUGUAUCUGUAAUUUUAAGAUUUAUGUUUAAACAUUAAGAAGCAGCUUUUGAAAUGUCUGAUGAUGAGCAGGUCUGGCGUUGUGAGUUAUAGAUGUAUAAACCAGACAUUUAGCUUUCAUGAAACAGUUGAAAAUCCAGAUGUAUGUCAAGUUGACCUGGAGAUUACUGAGCUAACUCACUAAGCCAGGUACAAGGAACGAGAUCCUGCGGUAAGCACCGUGUGGAAGGCUGUAUUGGAAACUAUGAGAGAGAGAAAGAGAGAGAUUAAGAAAGACAAAAAGAAGGAGGCACAGCGCCUAAAGGCGUAGACCAGUUUUUAUGGUUCAGCGAAAGGUAAAACUCAUUACUCGUUCUGCCAUCUUCAACCAUCUGUCUAACUUGGCUAAAAAAAGGUCUCAAGGCCUUCCGCCUUCAUACUGAUAACAUGCAAAUUUAGAACUAGUUAGGUGAAAAAAGACAGUGAUGCAAAGCAGAAUAGACUUAAAUUAGCAUGUGAGGAAUUGCUUACAGAUAGAUCUAAACGCCUUGAUGUGAACGAAUUCAGGUUUACUGAUAAAGGUUUCCAGAUGAAGAUUUUAUAGCUUUUAUUGUUUUUAUGUCAUAGCUCACUUUUUCUACCUCAAAAUUUCACAUUUUAUUCAAUGUGUUACUUGCUAUUUCUUUCUUUUUUCUUUUUGUUGUUGUUAUUGUUUUUUAGUAGUAAAGUAUGGAUAAAAAGUAUGUCUAUCCCACUGUAAAAAAAUCUCAGAUAGAUAGAUUGAUAGUCAAUGUUACUUGCUGUUUGCAAUAAUGAUAUUAGCAAAAAAUACAAAAAAUAAUGUUUUAUUUAUUUAGAUAAUUCGUUUUUUUUUCCACUGUAGAUAUAAAUCUAAAUAUAUAUAAUUAAAUAUUUGCAAAAAUGUAAAUUUGAUUUCUGAAUUUUUCUGAAAAUUUUCUUGUCUGAAACACAGGAUUAUGAAGUCUUAGUUUGUGUCUAGAUGCAGUUGAGAUUAUUUUGUCAUUCUGUGUUGUGUCUCCAAUUUUCCCACAAUUCUCAUUCAUUGACUUCAGAGCAGAACUUCUAUUAAGUAAAAUCCAUUCAUUUCUCCACUUUCUAAUGGGAAGUGUUGAAGUUUCCUCCAAGAACCACACAGUUUAAAUGCACUCAUGUGAAUACCAAAAUUAGCAGUGACUUAAAAGUAGGUCUCUUUCCUUCAAGCUCUCACAAUAAACAAAAACAACAAAUAACCACUAAAAAAUGUCAUCUGGUGCAGUAAACAUGCCACACUUUGUCUAAAACCUGGAAUGAAUCUCACAGACAUUAAGUGUUUCCAGUCUAGGGUGAAUCAUGGCUCAACCACACUCAUUUCCUGUAUGUGUUUAUGUGGGGGGUGUGUUAGCUGUCCGGGCUUGUUUUUAGCGCAAAACUGGAUGGAAAGAGGGAGGAUGACUAUAGCUGCAGUAUCACAUUUUUUUUUUGUUUUUUUUUUAAGAGAAUGUUCGAUUUGAAAAUUUAAAUCGAAACCAACACCAAAAUGGAAAUUCCGUGAUCAGUUACAUCAUGUGUUUAGUGUUUAGCGGAAUGUUCAUGUUUUAUGGGCUGUAAUGUUCCAAAAAUCAUCAAAUGUAUCACAAAAGUAUCUCAUUUGAUUACAAAGUGACAGUUUUGUUUUUGGGCGAACUGUAAUACAAAUGUGAUCCACCGCCAAGCAGGAUAGGCUAGAAUGAUUUUCAGAAAUGUAAUUGACAUUUUCGUUCCGAUUCAGAGCUUGAUUACAUGCUGAACAGUCCCCGUAGGUCAAUGGUAGUGAAGAUAGACAGCGCCAGUCUUGUGGAGUACCAAGCCCAUCUUUUUCAAACCACAAUGUAAAACAAGUAAAUGCAAAGUAUAUUUAUAGGCGGUGGAAAAUAACCCAUAAAUACAUUCGGCAUGACAAGAUGAUGCCUAUAAAUGUGUUUGCUGGAGAUGAACUAUACCAUAGAUGUACCGUGUUUACUCUGGCUUUGUUUGUCUUUGUUUAGGAGCUGUUUGACAUUGUAUCAGGCCACAUUCCAGGGUAAAGAUUUCUGGCAGAAGGUGCUGCAUGCUGUUGAAAUCUGUCUGUGCCACCUUGUCAGAAAGUUCCCGUCUUUAAAUAACAAUGAGAAUGAAGGGAAAGAGCACAUCCUUUAUCAGAUCUAUCAGAAUGAUACUCCGUCCUGUGUGUGUGGAUGAGGGCGAGACUGCGGUUUCAUUUUUAAAGGAAUAUUUCACCCAGAAUGAAAAUCCUGUCAUCAUCACGUCAUUCCAAACCCGCAUGACUUUCUUUGUAGCAUGAAACACAAAUUAAGAUAUUUUGAAGGAUCUGUAAACUCCUGUUUUCUAGAAAGUAAGAGUUAGUAAUAAUGAUGAAUGAAUGAAUGAAUGAAUAAAUAAAUAAAUAAAUUCAAAUGCAUGGUUUUUAGCAUAAAACACAAAGAAACAUAUUUUGAAGAAUCUCUAAAAGGCCAUUUUCUAUACAACAAAAUAAUAAUAAUAAUAAAAAUAAUAAUAAUAAUAAUAUAUAUAAUAGUCCAUGUAGUUUGUGCACUAUAUUCCAAGUCAUUAGCAUCGUAUAAUAUUCCACCUUUUUUUCUCAUUAAAAAGAAAAAUACAAAGCGAUGACAUGAGGGUGAGUAAAUGAUGACUGAAUUUUCAUUCUUGGGUGAACUAGUACUUUAAAACAAAUAGCCUGAGUGAAUAGACUAAACAUCUGGGAAGCCAAUAUUUGUGGUUCACUGACAUUUUCAAUGUUUUGAAAUUCAACUCCCUAUAAAAUAUGCUGGAAUGUAACGGGGAGAAGAGAAAGCAAAAUCGAGUAGCUGUACAGUGAAUGUUACAGUAGAGAUAACUGGCACGCCGGACGCAGGUUUCUUCUCACUUAUUUGUUCUUCAACCAGCAUGCACCUGUCCGAUCUCACUUCACACAGCUAAACAAGCAUGACUGUUGCACACAACAUCUGCUGACACAAACACUUCUGCAGAUAGAUACGGCUGUAUCUGACGAACAAAACAAACACAUGGAAAAAAACAGAUACACAGACAAGUGAGAAAGAGAUGAGCAGAUUGUAAAGAAAAUCUAAACCAAGUAAAUCAGUUAUCUUGGAAAUGUCUCCAACUGUUCUCAAAUUAGACAAUAUACAAAACUCAAACAUUCCUCCCAAUCUCCCAAGAUUAAAUGAUAUGAGCUGCGAUCCACAUUAUUACUGUAUCAGGGCCAAAUUUGUUUUUGUUUUUUUAGUUCACAAAUUAGAGAAUUGCUCAAAUACAGUUCAUUAGAUGUGAUUUAAUAAUUCAGUGGUGUCUUUUUAGUCAUAUUUUCGCCACAUAAGUUUUACAAUCUGUUAAACUGGACUUGACCUUGCUAAAUAAUAAUCAAUAAUCCCCACUUAUGCAAUAAAAAUGUGCAAUAUCCUUAUAUUUAUUUGUUACCCUUCCAUCCUAGUAGAUCCCUGCAUCUUACUCAAUCCUAUUCCAUUAUCAUUUACAGCACUAUUGUUUAUACACUUAUUUAUUUGCAAAGGUUUUUAAAUAUUUAUUUAUUUUUAUUUUUGACUGUGUGUUGUUGUCUCUGUGUACUGGAAGCUUAUGUCACUAAAACAAAUUCCUUGUAUGCGCAAGCAUACUUGGCAAUAAAGCUGUUUCUGAUUCUGAUAAUAUUUUUUGAAAUAUUUUAAGUAAAAAAUGUUAUGCGUCUUGAAUAUAAAUAGUAGUAACAAAGAAAACAUCACUAAUAAUAGUAAUAAAUGAAGAAAUAAAAUAAAUAAAUAAAAAGUGCACUAGUUAGUUCAGGUAGUUACAUAUUUUUGUUAUUUUUAUUAAUAUAUUUUGGAAUUUUUAAAAUGUCUUUUAUUACAGCAAAACUAAAUAUGUGGCUUUAAUCACGCUUAAUCAUUUUUAAAAAAAAAUAUCUUUAGGUAAUGAUUCCUAGUUCAUGUUUUAGUUGUUGCUUUGUAGCUUGCGUAUGACAACAAUUCUAAAAACAGGCUGGUCUGACUCAUCUAUUCGGAGACAAAGUAUGUAGGUCUCCUUCAAUGAAACAUUAAUCGAAAUCUCCUGGAAGUCUCCCGAAUGCUGAGCUUGACUGUAUAAAUCACAUUCUACUUUUGUUGAAUGAUAAAUAGAAGCUCAGAUGUUCAGAUUUCUCCUUUCACAGAAAAAGAAGGCCUGGCUCGACGGGGUGAGUAAAUGAUGCCCAAACUGUCAUUUUUUCAGCGAAUUAUCACGUCUUUCAAAGCAAAUGUGUUGAAAACAUUUCUGCUUCUCUUCAUUGAGCAAUGUAAGCACACAUCAGUUGUCAGACAAAUCAUUCUCUCCUUUUGUGUGUCCCUGUCACAGCAGCUCAGUUGAUCUUUAAGAGAGUUACUAUGAAUAUAACAGCUACUGCUGUGAAGAGAGGCAAGAAGACCAGAAAAUCCGGUUUGCAAAAGUGUGGAGUCCCUCCAAAUGCAUCUUUCACAGGGUGAGGUCACGCAAAUCUGGGGCAAGACAAGGAGGUCAGAGGCAGUUGAACGGAAAGCGUGUGAAGGUGAUCUGCCGAUACUCGCUGUUUGUGUUUGUCUGUGUGUGUCUGGGGGGCUGAAGCAAAGGAAGUGGAUGAAAGAGGCAAAGCUAGGCCAAGGGUGGGAGGGGAGCUGCGUGUAAACAUCCUGCGGGCAGCAGGGACUCGUCCUGGGAAAUAUUUGUCUUAGCUGGUAACGCAGAGAGGCAGCCAAAGCCUUCAUCUGGCCCUCAGCUAUUUUCUCAGAAAAUCUGGAGGGACGAAGGGCGGAGAGGAGACGGACAGAAAGAGAGUACAGUGAUGAGUAAAGGGCAGAGACGUCAUUUACAGUGGGAACAUGGACGAUUUUGUCUCCACCACUUUGUCACCACAACAUUUGGGGGGAAAAGUGUUUUGUCUUGUGGCAUUGGCAUAUUUUUGUUUCAAACAUAACCCGGUUCAAAAUAAACUUAAUCAUUAAAAAUUU
ensembl:lncRNA